CACGCCCUAAACGAUGUCAACUAGUUGUCGGGUCGUCAGACUCGGUAACGCAGCUAACGCGUGAAGUUGACCGCCUGGGGAGUACGGUCGCAAGAUUAAAACUCAAAGGAAUUGACGGGG
rnacentral:rRNA from 1 species